rnacentral:rRNA from 1 species
UGGAAGGAAAAAAGCGUAACAAGGUUUCCGUAGGUGAACCUGCGGAAGGAUCAUUACUGAUUUGCUUAAUUGCACCACAUGUGUUUUUUAUUGAACAAAUUUCUUUGGUGGCGGGAGCAAUCCUACCGCCAGAGGUUAUAACUAAACCAAACUUUUUAUUUACAGUCAAACUUGAUUUAUUAUUACAAUAGUCAAAACUUUCAACAACGGAUCUCUUGGUUCUCGCAUCGAUGAAGAACGCAGCGAAAUGCGAUACGUAAUAUGAAUUGCAGAUAUUCGUGAAUCAUCGAAUCUUUGAACGCACAUUGCGCCCUUUGGUAUUCCAAAGGGCAUGCCUGUUUGAGCGUCAUUUCUCCCUCAAACCCCCGGGUUUGGUGUUGAGCAAUACGCUAGGUUUGUUUGAAAGAAUUUAACGUGGAAACUUAUUUUAAGCGACUUAGGUUUAUCCAAAAACGCUUAUUUUGCUAGUGGCCACCACAAUUUAUUUCAUAACUUUGACCUCAAAUCAGGUAGGACUACCCGCUGAACUUAAGCAUAUCAAAAGGCGGGAGAAA